ACCGCAUGGUAACUAUGUAAUAGGUGGCUAUACUACCGCUUUUGGAUGGGCCCGCGGCGCAUUAGCUAGUUGGUAGGGUAAAUGCUUACCAAGGCAAUGAUGCGUAGCCGAAUUGAGAGGUUGAUCGCCCACAUUGGGACUGAGACACGGCCCAAACUCCUACGGGAGGCAGCAGUAGGGAAUCUUCCACAAUGGGCGCAAGCCUGAUGGAGCAACGCCGCGUGGGUGAAGAAGGUCUUCGGAUCGUAAAACCCUGUUGUUAGAGAAGAAAGUGCGUGAGAGUAACUGUUCACGUUUCGACGGUAUCUAACCAGAAAGCCACGGCUAACUACGUGCCAGCAGCCGCGGUAAUACGUAGGUGGCAAGCGUUAUCCGGAUUUAUUGGGCGUAAAGGGAACGCAGGCGGUCUUUUAAGUUUGAUGUGAAAGCCUUCGGCUUAACCGGAGUAGUGCAUUGGAAACUGGGAGACUUGAGUGCCGAAGAGGAGAGUGGAACUCCAUGUGUAGCGGUGAAAUGCGUAGAUAUACGGAAGAACCCCAGUGGCGAAAGCGGCUCUCUGGUCUGUAACUGACGCUGAGGUUCGAAAGCGUGGGUAGCAAACAGGAUUAGAUACCCUGGUAGUCCACGCCGUAAACGAUGAAUGCUAAGUGUUGGAGGGUUUCCGCCCUUCAGUGCUGCAGCUAACGCAAUAAGCAUUCCGCCUGGGGAGUACGACCGCAAGGUUGAAACUCAAAGGAAUUGACGGGGGCCCGCACAAGCGGUGGAGCAUGUGGUUUAAUUCGAAGCAACGCGAAGAACCUUACCAGGUCUUGACAUCUUUUGACAAUCCUAGAGAUAGGACUUUCCCUUCGGGGACAAAAUGACAGGUGGUGCAUGGUUGUCGUCAGCUCGUGUAGUGAGAUGUUGGGUUAAGUCCCGCAACGAGCGCAACCCUUAUUGUUAGUUGCCAGCAUUAAGUUGGGCACUCUAGCAAGACUGCCGGUGACAAACCGGAGGAAGGUGGGGAUGACGUCAAAUCAUCAUGCCCCUUAUGACCUGGGCUACACACGUGCUACAAUGGACGGUACAACGAGUCGCAAGACCGCGAGGUUUAGCAAAUCUCUUAAAGCCGUUCUCAGUUCGGAUUGUAGGCUGCAACUCGCCUACAAGAAGUCGGAAUCGCUAGUAAUCGCGGAUCAGCAUGCCGCGGUGAAUAAGAUCCCGGCCUUUGCACUCACCGCCCGUCA
rnacentral:rRNA from 1 species